rnacentral:snoRNA from 1 species
UCAGAGGUGUUGAAAAUCACGCACCACAUAGGGGAGCACACGUCUCUGCCCCAGGGGGAGAAGUCCUUUCCUACACCGUUGGAGAGGAAGCCGGCCCUGUGUCUGUGCUCUUCUCUACCUACCACUUCGCAGAGCCCUUGGACGACUGCGGAGAUAAACCAUGCAGGAAACAGCG